rnacentral:rRNA from 1 species
GACGAACGCUGGCGGCGCGCCUAACACAUGCAAGUCGAACGGAGCUGCGAGAAGCUUGCUUUUCUUAGCUUAGUGGCGAACGGGUGAGUAACGCGUGAGUAACCUGCCCUGGAGUGGGGGACAACAGUUGGAAACGACUGCUAAUACCGCAUAAGCCCACGAUCCGGCAUCGGAUUGAGGGAAAAGGAUUUAUUCGCUUCAGGAUGGACUCGCGUCCAAUUAGCUAGUUGGUGAGGUAACGGCCCACCAAGGCGACGAUUGGUAGCCGGACUGAGAGGUUGAACGGCCACAUUGGGACUGAGACACGGCCCAGACUCCUACGGGAGGCAGCAGUGGGGGAUAUUGCACAAUGGGGGAAACCCUGAUGCAGCGACGCCGCGUGGAGGAAGAAGGUUUUCGGAUUGUAAACUCCUGUCGUUAGGGACGAUAAUGACGGUACCUAACAAGAAAGCACCGGCUAACUAC